AGUCGAUGACGAGUAAACGGAUUCGAGUUAAUGGCUGGAGCGUUGAUCCAUUGAAGCAUUCGGUGUUUCAGCUCUUGAACUUCGACAAGAAAUGGAUCUGGGAAUGGUGGACUCGGCGUCAAGGAUGAACAACGAUCAUAAAACGAGAGGAGAACAACAA